rnacentral:rRNA from 1 species
GUCCACGCCGUAAACGAUGGAUACUAGCUGUUCGGUUUUCGGACUGAGUGGCUAAGCGAAAGUGAUAAGUAUCCCACCUGGGGAGUACGGGCGCAAGCCUGAAACUCAAAGGAAUUGACGGGGGCCCGCACAAGCGGUGGAGCAUGUGGUUUAAUUCGAUGAUACGCGAGGAACCUUACCAGGGCUUAAAUGUAUUUUGACCGUUUAGGAAACUAGACUUUUCGCAAGACAAAAUACAAGGUGCUGCAUGGUUGUCGU